rnacentral:ncRNA from 1 species
ACGACCUGUGCGGGAGAGCCCGGUGAAUGCGACCGGGCACCGAAGGAGCAAGCCUCCCCGCCAAUCUCUCAGGUAUCCAUACCGCUCCGGUCCG